GUGGUAUCAGAGCAAUAGUUUUAAUCAUGAUUAAAAACUUUAAGACUAAUCAUGGGAAUGGGUAGUUAAGUUAGCUUUCACAUAAUUGGAAUAACAAUAAUAAAUAAUAAAAUAAUAAUUUUGGGUUAUAUUGUCUUAGGUGACAAUGAGCAUCAAAAAGAAGAAAUAUAGGGCUAAUACGAGCCAUAUUAGGGACGUCAUUGUGAUAGAAAAACUAUUAAAGCUUAGUUUUAGAUCAUUGUGAAUUGUGAUUGGAAAACUGUGAGAGUUUAGAUUAAGAUUACAUAGGAUUGUGACAAAAUUGGAAUCAAAAAAAUAAGUUUAAGAUCACUAGGGUUUGCAACAGAAAUAUAUCAUAGCUUAAGGUUAUGAUCACUUAGGACAUGACAAAAGUAGUAAAUUACAUUCAGUGCUUAAGUGAAAGAUCACUAAGCAUUGUAAGUACCGAGUUUGGUAUUCGAUGAGUACGGAAGUACUGGAUAAGAUGUUUUUGAUCAUGAUGAGAGAUGUUUGACCUAAGAUUAGUGUAGGAUUAACCAUGGUAUAGCGGUUAUACCACAUUCGAAUGUUGGUUAAACGACUCAAUAGUUUAAAAUUGUUAUAGAUUUGGAUGUGAUUAUUAGAGUGUGAUUUAUAUAUGGAUUGGUCAUAGAAUUGGAAUGAGUCAAGAAGGAUUUUAUUUUAUAUAGUAUUAUAAAGGAUUGUCCUUCAAGGUUAAAUCCGUAUGUGGAUUAUAAUUGGUAUUGGCAUACUUGGAUAUUGCAAAUAGUUGUAUUCUAUGGGUGGAUUAAAUUCUUAAGUGCAUAUUGAUUGGGGAAUUUUAGUUGUUUGAAUUUCCAUGUUUGGAUUGGGCUAUUAAUUUUUUCUUAUAAUUAUUGGACACUUUUGGAUGUGUUAGUUUAAUCUCAAGUUUAAGUUUAUGAUUUGACAAGGAAUCUUUGUUAUUGAGUGGAGACUUUGAUUUUAGAGAUACUUAUUGAAAUUGAAAUGCUUGCUAACUGGGCUCGUAGCCAAAGUGUGGAUCAGCUAUGUUGGGAGUUCUCUCAGUGGAUAUUUCAGAUUAUGAUUAAUUGAAUUUUGACCAAAAUUUAGUGAAAGAGAAUUGAUCAUGGAAUAUUAUCAUAUAAUGUAAUUAUU
rnacentral:lncRNA from 1 species